UACGAAGGGGGCUAGCGUUGCUCGGAAUCACUGGGCGUAAAGCGCACGUAGGCGGGUUCUUAAGUCAGGGGUGAAAUCCUGGAGCUCAACUCCAGAACUGCCUUUGAUACUGGGAAUCUCGAGUCCGGGAGAGGUGAGUGGAACUGCGAGUGUAGAGGUGAAAUUCGUAGAUAUUCGCAAGAACACCAGUGGCGAAGGCGGCUCACUGGCCCGGUACUGACGCUGAGGAGCGAAAGCGUGGGGAGCGAACAGG
rnacentral:rRNA from 1 species